GGAUUAGGCAUGCAAGUCGAACGAGGAUAUAUCCUUCGGGAUAUAAGCCGAGUGGCGCAAGGGUGAGUAAUGCAUAGAUUACCUGCCUCCGGGAUAAGGACAACUUUGUGAAAACGGAGCUAAUACUUAAUAAUACAAAAGAAAAUAAUUUCUUUUGUCAAAGGGAGGGUAGCAAUACCUUUUGCCUAAAGAGGGGUUUAUGUCCUAUCAGCUUGUUGGUAGGGUAACGGCCUACCAAGGCGAAGACGGGUAGUCGGCCUUAGAGGGUAGUCGGCCACACUGGAACUGAGACACUGUCCAGACUUCUACGGAAGGCUGCAGUCGAGAAUCUUUCGCAAUGCCCGAAAGG
rnacentral:rRNA from 1 species